rnacentral:rRNA from 1 species
UACGUAGGGCGCAAGCGUUGUCCGGAAUUAUUGGGCGUAAAGAGCUCGUAGGCGGUUUGUCGCGUCUGUCGUGAAAGCUUGGGGCUUAACCCCAAGUCUGCGGUGGAUACGGGCAGACUAGAGGCAGGUAGGGGAGAACGGAGUUCCCGGUGUAGCGGUGAAAUGCGUAGAUAUCGGGAGGAAUACCAGUGGCGAAGGCGGCUGCCUGGCCUGUUCUUGACGCUGAGGCGCGAAAGCUGGGGGAGCAAACGGG